rnacentral:rRNA from 1 species
GUCUGUGGCCACAUCACCCUGAACACACCCAGGCUUGUCUGAUCUUAGAAGUUAAGCAGGCUCCAGCCUGGUUAGUACUUAGGUGGGAGAAAGUACUGAACGUGAGUAACUUAGAACUUGAGAUU